rnacentral:piRNA from 1 species
UAGGCAUCCCUGGCUAGAUUGGCAUUCUCA